rnacentral:rRNA from 1 species
GCGUUAUCCGGAUUCACUGGGUUUAAAGGGUGCGUAGGCGGGCAGGUAAGUCAGUGGUGAAAUCUCCCGACUUAAUCGGGAAACUGCCAUUGAUACUAUCUGUCUUGAAUAUUGUGGAGGUGAGCGGAAUAUGUCAUGUAGCGGUGAAAUGCUUAGAUAUGACAUAGAACACCAAUUGCGAAGGCAGCUCACUACGCAUAUAUUGACGCUGAUGCACGAAAGCGUG